rnacentral:misc_RNA from 1 species
GAUGAAGAACGCAGCGAAAUGCGAUACGUAAUGUGAAUUGCAAAUUCAGUGAAUCAUCGAGUCUUUGAACGCACAUUGCGCCCCCUGGUAUUCCGGGGGGCAUGCCUGUCCGAGCGUCAUUGCUGCCCUCAAGCACGGCUUGUGUGUUGGGCCCCCGUCCCCGGUUUCCCCCGGGGACGGGCCCGAAAGGCAGCGGCGGCACCGCGUCCGGUCCUCGAGCGUAUGGGGCUUUGUCACCCGCUCUGUAGGCCCGGCCGGCGCCAGCCGACACCCAACUUUAUUUCUAAGGUUGACCUCGGAUCAGGUAGGGAUACCCGCUGAACUUAAGCAUAUCAAUAAGCGGAGGA